rnacentral:rRNA from 1 species
AUAGUGUUCGCUGCCCUCGCGGGUAGCAAGCCUCACCCGUGUAUAUUAUAUCUUUGUUGCUUUGGCACGCCGCCUUCGGGCACUGGCUUCGGCUGGCUCGUGUGUGUCAGAGGACCCAAAACUCUGAAUGUUAGUGUCGUCUGAGUACUAUCUAAUAGUUAAAACUUUCAACAACGGAUCUCUUGGUUCUGGCAUCGAUGAAGAACGCAGCGAAAUGCGAUAAGUAAUGUGAAUUGCAGAAUUCAGUGAAUCAUCGAAUCUUUGAACGCACAUUGCGCCCGGUGGUAUUCCGCCGGGCAUGCCUGUUCGAGCGUCAUUUAAACCAAUCUAGCCUCGUGCUUGGGUAUUGGGCCUUUCGCCUUUGGGCGGGCCUUAAAAUCAGUGGCGGUGCCCUCUGGCUCUGAGCGUAGUAAUACUCCUCGCUAUAGACGUCAGGCGGUGUCUUGCCAACAACCCCUAAUUUUUAAAGGUUGACCUCGGAUCAGGUAGGGAUACCCGCUGAACUUAA